rnacentral:lncRNA from 1 species
AAUGCACGAAACCACAUAUAAUUUAAUAGAUACGCUACUUAUUCAAUAUUCAAGCUCGUACAAUAUACAAAUAACCAAGUCAAAAAAUAUUGCAGGGCGAUCAAAUACUGGCAAUCAACUACAUAUCUUCAGCAUUUCACUGAAAAAAUAGGACAAACAAGCAAGAAUACACUGAAGCAGUAUCAUCCAAGCAGCUCAAAGCAAGUCUCCAAGCAGCUCAAAGCAAGAUCAUGCCGGGCAACGACCUCACUAUGCAUGCCGUUACUGUCGGUGGCGUCUUUGUUUACAUGCAUGACAGAAGCAACUUACGGGGCAUGAAGAAGACAAUAAUUGUUGCACGUGCUUGGUCCCAAGCUAAGCUACGCCCGCCUGAAUUAGAAAUUGGCGAAGCGCGUUAUUGUGUCAUCACUUAUGUCUGAAUUAGAGUAUAUGAUAACCGUCUUGCAAACAAAAUAUUCAGUUUCUCUGUUCCUAUAAGAAAAAUAGAAAACCAGAAGCCAUCAGUGUGUAAUGCCAUCUAUCAACACAAGGCCAUAAAUUUUAUUUAACUUUGAAUCCAGAUUGUCCUAUUUAUUAGCAAAAAGAGUCUAUAUCCGGAAAAAGAAAUUUUGUAUUGGAAAAUGGAUUUGGAAAACUUCACACCAGAAUAAUGUAAAGCAGUGUAUUUAAAUAAACUGCAGAGCGAUGGAAAUAAUAGUAAACUUGAUAAAGAAAAAAUUGAUUAACACAAUGCUUGUAAGAUAUCACGACAUGCAAGGAAAAUGCUUACCUAAAUAUAAUACAAAAUCCUAAAUUAGCUGAGAGCAGGAGACAAACAUAUUAAGCUCAACUUAACGGGAAGAAUCACUAUGAAUAUUUCAAUACAUAAUGUCAAGAUUGUUAUGCAAAAACAUAAUGGAGUAGCAUUUAAGCAUGUGGAAAUCAUCAUACUAAUUACAAGAGCAUACCCUGCACCUCCUUGAUCACCACGUCGAACCUCAUGCCUCGACCAUGGCAGCUGGCAGCACCUGCCUGGGGUGUGUCCAAGAUGGUUGGGACAAUUUUCCAGUCCAUGCUGCCAGUCCAAGCUGGAAUGCAUACACAAAUUACUACACAUAUCUCAUAUGCUUGUGAAAUAUUGAGAUGACCAAAUUAUUUAGACCAAGUAGCCCUACUUUGAGAUGAGCACCACUUUCCAUUAUUUCAUCAUUCAGCUAAAAAUUAAAUAUUUGACUGAUAUUUAGACCCAGACCCUCCAGAACAAAUAGAAAAUGAGGCUUGUCAAUAUCUAUCCAUCGUUUCUGCAUCUCUAAAUCAAAAUAUAUUCUGAACCCAAAACCAAGACCAUAUGCACAACAGGAAAGGGGUUGACAUUGUGCUGAACCUGUAACACAUAGCAGAUAAUUUCUGACUUUGUGUCUAGGCUGGAUUGUACGUAAGACAUGUACGUAUUACAUAUUCAAAAUCAUUCAGGUAAACAGGAAGGCUUGCAUCGAAAGGAGAAUAUAAACUGUGAUACAUGGGAGUGUAAGAAUACAUUGUUCGAAUCUGGGAUCUACCAUGGAAAUGCUCAACAAGCAGCCCUAAAUAUAGCAAUACUUCUCAACAAAUGAGAUAAACAGAGAUAACAAUAUCAGUUGUAGAUUCAGAUUUAUUUGAACAAAAUAUAUCUUAAGUUUGUCUGCUAAUUAGAAUAAGAAUUAGAAGGGACCAUAGCUAGUAAUUCAGACGAAUUAAUUGUAGGGAAGAACUGAGCAAAGUUACGGCUUCAUAGCAAAACUGGAUUUGUAAUGUAUACUGUGUGUUCCUGUUGAUAGUACAAAUGUAAGAACAAAGCGCCUCAGUGCAGCACGUACAGGAAGAUAAAAAGGUAAGCUGUGCUAGUGCCCAUACUCUGCUUCUCUACCUCUGCCCAUAAGGUGUUUGCUGAAUUGUUUGCUCCGAUUCAGUCAAUCAGUCGAGUCGUGAACCUGUCCACCCUGUUCGUGAGACAGAGAUAGACUCGAGCCCGCUGUCGGCCUGUCACAGAAGAAUUGAAAUGAUUAAAGAACUUCAACAGGAAUAAUACUCCAUUUGGAAACUAAUAAAAGCCGUUUUAGGUCAGUAUUUCGUGACCUACAACGUCUUAUAUUAGUUUAGCGCAUUAGUAGCGAAGCAAUUCUCUGAAAAAAAUCAGCAAAUUAGAAGUUAUGAGGUUUCAUUACGUACCUCCAAACAAAUUCUCUAAAACAUCUUUCCAGCUAGCUAUUAGUAGUUCUCUCGGGACUUGAUGGACAUCUUUGUCAGAAGAGCACAACCGCAGAUGAAUCAAUUAACACAACGGAGGGAAGAAAAAAUUAUGUUGAAUAGCAAAGAACAUGUAAAUUCACUUGAAAAUAGGUCACCUUUCUAAAUCAUUGCAAUGUAUCACUGUAUGUAAACCAAAUAAGUGCUCUAAAUUCUAAACCUGUAAAAGAUAAUUAUAUAUUAUUUAUACAACAGGAACCAUGUUAGGUUUCACCUCAAUUUUGUCUACCAAUAUGUAUUCAACUCUCUACUGAAAUACAAUAAAAUUUAGCAUUAAUUUUCAAUCUAGUUAUUCGCAUCAUGCAGAUCAAAAUAAGAAAAUGUUCGAUAUCUUCUCCCCUCCGACCUCCCAUAAUACCCUUUCUUUAAUAUGAACUUGGUAGCACUGUAUCUGUACCUCCCAUAAUUCCUUUCUUAUAUAUAUAAUUAGCAUCUGGACUAUGCAAUCAACAAGUGGUCACUAACUCACAUAUGUUGUGCAGAUUUCUCUAUUCGUGUAUGACACAUCAGGCCCGGUAGAGUUCUAAAACGCUGACAACUAAUCCAAUUAACACAAAGAAUCAAACUAAAUCUAGAUUAAUUUCUAAAGUCAAAAGGAUAAGAGUAAGAGAGCAUACAAAUGAUGUAUGUUGCUUCCGCCUACUGCGGCACUGCAGCCUGCCUCCACACCUUGGUCCGUGGAUUCGUGGAGCCGUGCGUCUGCACCAGUCUUGUGAGCAAUGAACGUGCGCUGCUCUGGCAGAACUUGAGGGAUCGAUUGCUAGCGUGCAGCAAAUUAGCUUCACCAUGACGCACAGCGACUUGUAUUACCUGAUGCACAUGCAGACUUAGCUCCUACUUAGCACUAAACAAAAUUAUUUACCCAUAUGCCUGUGCAUCAGGGAGUCACCAAGUAGCUCCUGCCCGGACUGGCAGUGUGCGGUACCAUCCUAAAAAACACAGACCGGUAGAUCGAUCUCACUCAUAUCCUUGUAGCCGAUCUGCACGGUCUUCUCCUGCAAGGCGCCCAGAUCCGCCACCGCGAAGAUGUUCAGUAGCGUGAUGCUGGAGAUGCGGACAUGGGCAACACGGGGAUAUUUUCCGGCAACACGGUGAGGCUAUCAAUCACCAUGUACGCCACGACGAC